UACGUAGGGUGCAAGCGUUAUCCGGAAUCACUGGGCGUAAAGCGUGCGUAGGUGGCGUGUUAAGUGUGAUGUUAAAUCGUGUGGCUCAACCAUAUCGAUGUGUCGCAUACUGGCAUGCUAGAGGACAGCAGAGGCAAGUGGAAUUUGUAGUGUAGCAGUGAAAUGCGUAGAUAUUACAAGGAACACCAAUGGCGAAGGCAGCUUGCUGGGCUACUCCUGACACUGAGGUACGAAAGCGUGGGGAGCGAACAGGA
rnacentral:rRNA from 1 species